GGGGAAUUUUCCGCAAUGGGCGAAAGCCUGACGGAGCAACGCCGCGUGAGGGAGGAAGGCUCUUGGGUUGUAAACCUCUUUUCUCAAGGAAGAUAAUGACGGUACUUGAGGAAUCAGCAUCGGCUAACUCCGUGCCAGCAGCCGCGGUAAUACGGAGGAUGCAAGCGUUAUCCGGAAUAAUUGGGCGUAAAGCGUUCGUAGGUGGUUCUGUAAGUCUGCUGUUAAAGCGUGUAGCUCAACUACAUAUAGGCGGUGGAAACUACAAAACUUGAGUGCGUUCGGGGUAGAGGGAAUUCCUGGUGUAGCGGUGAAAUGCGUAGAUAUUAGGAAGAACACCAGUGGCGAAGGCGCUCUACUGGGCCAUUACUGUACGCGUGA
rnacentral:rRNA from 1 species